rnacentral:rRNA from 1 species
CCUACGGGUGGCAGCAGUGAGGAAUAUUGGUCAAUGGGCGGGAGCCUGAACCAGCCAAGUCGCGUGAAGGAAGAAGGUGCUGAGUAUUGUAAACUUCUUUUGUCGGGGAACAAAGGCGGAGACGAGUCUCCGGAUGAGUGUACCCGAAGAAAAAGAAUCGUCUAACUCCGUGCCAGCAGCCGCGGUAAUACGGAGGAAGCGAGCGUUAUCCGGAUUUAUUGGGUUUAAAGGGUGCGGAGGCGGGUGAUCAAGUCAGCGGUAAAAUGUCGGGGCUCAACCCCGGCCGGCCGUUGAAACUGGUUUUCUAGCGUUGGCGAGAAGUAUGCGGAAUUCGUGGUGUAGCGGUGAUAUGCAUAGAUCUCACGAAGAACUCCGAUUGCGAAGGCAGCAUACCGGCUCCAUACUGACGCUGAGGUACGAAAGCGUGGGUAUCGAACAGGAUUAGAUACCCUGGUAGUC